rnacentral:pre_miRNA from 11 species
CGGAGCUUUGGAGUGUGACAAUGGUGUUUGUGUCCUGUGUAUCAAACGCCAUUAUCACACUAAAUAGCUACGGU